rnacentral:misc_RNA from 1 species
GAUGAAGAACGUAGCGAAAUGCGAUAAGUAAUGUGAAUUGCAGAAUUCAGUGAAUCAUCGAAUCUUUGAACGCACAUUGCGCCCGCCAGCAUUCUGGCGGGCAUGCCUGUUCGAGCGUCAUUUCAACCCUCGACCUCCCCUUGGGGAGGUCGGCGUUGGGGACCGGCAGCACACCGCCGGCCCUGAAAUGGAGUGGCGGCCCGUCCGCGGCGACCUCUGCGCAGUAAUACAGCUCGCACCGAGACCCCGACGCGGCCACGCCGUAAAACACCCAACUUCUGAACGUUGACCUCGAAUCAGGUAGGACUACCCGCUGAACUUAAGCAUAUCAAUAAGCGGAGGA